UACAGAGGUCCCAAGCGUUGUUCGGAUUUACUGGGCGUAAAGGGCGCGUAGGCGGCCACCGCAAGUCGGUUGUGAAAUCUCCGGGCUUAACCCGGAAAGGUCAAUCGAUACUGCGGGGCUAGAGUGCAGAAGGGGCAACUGGAAUUCUCGGUGUAGCGGUGAAAUGCGUAGAUAUCGAGAGGAACACCUGCGGCGAAGGCGGGUUGCUGGGCUGACACUGACGCUGAAGCGCGAAAGCUAGGGGAGCGAACGGG
rnacentral:rRNA from 1 species